rnacentral:rRNA from 1 species
CAAGGAGCUUUCUGUGAAGCUGGCGCGUGAGCGAUCCGGUGGAGAGAUCACUAGUGAGAAUGAUGACAUGAGUAGCGACAAAGGGGGUGAGAGACCCCCUCGCCGAAAGUCCAAGGGUUCCUGCUUAAAGCUAAUCUGAGCAGGGUGAGCCGACCCCUAAGGCGAGGCCGAGAGGCGUAGUCGAUGGGAACCGGGUUAAUACUCCCGGGCCAGGAGGACGUGACGGAUCGCAGGUGUAGUGAGGCCUUAUCGGAUUGGCCUUGCUGCUGAGCGGUCCCUGGAAAUAGCCCUCCGCGAGAUCGUACCCUAAACCGACACAGGUGG